AGGAAAAUAACUCUUCUAGCUGGUUGCAGUGCUCAGACAUGGUUUCAAGCCCACCAUCACCUUGUAGAGUAUGCGUGAAAUCACUCUUAUACAGCUCAAUAGCUUCACUCAAUAGCUUCAUGAGUUCAUGCAUCUCUGUGUUUGUGUCGGAAGGGUGAGCAACUGCUGCAGCCCACCAAAAGAUAUUCCCAAGAGAAGCAUUAGACAUGGGUGGCUUAGUUUGUGGCCGGAGAUUCACU
rnacentral:misc_RNA from 1 species